rnacentral:lncRNA from 1 species
GGCAGUCAUAUGGGUCUCCACACACUUGCCUGUCUCUGUUCCAGAGGCUGUGCCAGAAGCUGGGAGGGGCAGACAUCUUCAGCUCUCCACAUUAGCUCCGAAUUUAAAGAAUCUAUUCCUACUCAGCGUGCACACACCUUACCCCUUUCCCUCAAGAUGGCAAAGAGGACUCCAGAGCUGCUCCAUCCUCCCAUUCUUCAGCAGAGCAUGGAUGCUCAGAGGAAAGGUACCCGGGGUGUUUUGUGCUUUUAGAUCUAGAUACUGUGAGUGGUAGGGGGUCAGAGAACAGUGAGCCUUCUGGUGGAGUCUGAACCAAAGGAUAGAUCUAGAACCCAGGGCCCUGAAUAAAGGGGAGAAUACAUUAAGAGAUAUUAAGAUUUUCCCUAAGCCUGAGGUCUGGAGUGAGAGAUGCUACAAUUGAUUAGAGGUGAAGGGCAAAGAUAGAGGUCUCUUAUCUUCUAACAUUCUCAUUCUAUUGUUUUUGAGGGAGGGUCUCACUCAGUAGACCAGUCUGGCCUCCAACUCAGAGAUCCGCCUGCCCCUGCCUCCCAGGUGCUGGGAUUAAAGGUGUGCGCCACACAUCCAGCUUUACCCUCUUCUUAUCACCAGGGCCCUCCUCAAAUGACUGCAGCCAGCAGACUUCUUCUAUGCCACUUUAACAACCCAUUCCCACGGCAGCCUCGCCAUCUCCCUCCCAAGACAACAACCUCAGUGAUAUAGCAAAACUUUUAUUCACAAGAAAACUCGAAAA